CUACGGGUCGCACCAGUGAGGAAUUUUGCGCAAUGGGGGAAACCCUGACGCAGCAACGCCGCGUGAGCGAAGAAGGCCUUCGGGUCGUAAAGCUCUGUCAAGUGGGAAAAAAAUUCUUUGAUGAACAGUCAAAGGACUUGAUGGUACCACUGGAGGAAGCACCGGCUAACUCCGUGCCAGCAGCCGCGGUAAUACGGAGGGUGCAAGCGUUGUUCGGAAUUACUGGGCGUAAAGAGCGUGUAGGCGGUUUGACAAGUCAGAUGUGAAAGCCCCGGGCUCAACCCGGGAAGUGCAUUUGAAACUGUAUCACUAGAGUAUGGGAGAGGAGAUUGGAAUUCCUGGUGUAGAGGUGAAAUUCGUAGAUAUCAGGAGGAACACCCGUGGCGAAGGCGAUUCUCUGGACCAAUACUGACGCUGAGACGCGAAAGCGUGGGGAGCAAACAGGAUUAGAUACCCCUGUAGUC
rnacentral:rRNA from 1 species